AGCUGAGAAAGAAUAUAGCUACAGAUGUGCUGACGCAGCUGUUUUCCAGGGACGGUUUUCCCAUCUUGUUUCAGGUCAAGUAUCAAGAAUGAAUGGCAAGAGGACAAGUGAGAAUCUACUCAGUGAAGCGGAGUAUCGAAGGUUGAGAAGCAAGGGACUGGCAGCUGGGAACACGCUGGUUUCUGAAAGCUCCAACCAGAGACAUAAGUUAAGAAUUCACAAGCAUCAUAACAGACCAUGGAAGUCAGAGUGGGCAAGAGCCAGUUCCCUGGGAUUCAACAUUUGUUCAUUCAUUUAGUAAAUAUUUUCCAUCUA
rnacentral:lncRNA from 1 species